CUACGGGGGGAGCAAGCGUUGUCCGGAAUCACUGGGCGUAAAGGGCGUGUAGGCGGGUUGGUCAGCCAGAUGUGAAAGCCUUCCGCUUAACGGAAGAACUGCAUUUGAAACUGUCGGGCUUGAGUGCGGGAGAGGGUAGCGGAAUUCCCAGUGUAGCGGUGAAAUGCGUAGAUAUUGGGAAGAACACCAGUAGCGAAGGCGGCUACCUGGCUCGUAACUGACGCUAAGGCGCAAAAGCGUGGGGAGCAAACAGGAUUAGAAACCCGGGUAGUCC
rnacentral:rRNA from 1 species